GACAGAGGUGGCAAGCGUUGUUCGGAUUUACUGGGCGUAAAGAGUGCGUAGGUGGUGAGGUAAGACCUGUGGGAAAGACCUGGGCUUAACCCAGGAAGGUCGCAAGUGACUGCCUUGCUUGAGGACGGGAGAGGAGAGCGGAAUUCCCGGUGUAGUGGUGAAAUGCGUAGAUAUCGGGAGGAACACCAGUGGCGAAGGCGGCUUCCUGGCCUGUUCUUGACGCUGAGGCGCGAAAGCUAGGGGAGCAAACGGG
rnacentral:rRNA from 1 species